CUAGCAUAUCAAUAAGCGGAGGAAAAGAAACCAACAGGGAUUGCCCCAGUAACGGCGAGUGAAGCGGCAACAGCUCAAAUUUGAAAUCUGGCCCCCAGGGUCGAGUUGUAAUUUGUAGAGGAUGCUUUUGGUGCGGUGCCUUCUGAGUUCCCUGGAACGGGACGCCACAGAGGGUGAGAGCCCCGUAUAGUCGGACACCAAGCCUUUGUAAAGCUCCUUCGACGAGUCGAGUAGUUUGGGAAUGCUGCUCAAAAUGGGAGGUAAAUGUCUUCUAAAGCUAAAUACCGGCCAGAGACCGAUAGCGCACAAGUAGAGUGAUCGAAAGAUGAAAAGCACUUUGAAAAGAGGGUUAAAAAGCACGUGAAAUUGUUGAAAGGGAAGCGCUUGUGACCAGACUUGCGCCCGGUUGAUCAUCCAGCGUUCUCGCUGGUGCACUCUGCCGGGCUCAGGCCAGCAUCGGUUCUUGCGGGGGGAUAAAAGUUGUGGGAAUGUAGCUCCCUCGGGAGUGUUAUAGCCCGCUGCAGAAUACCCCCGCGGGGACCGAGGUACGCGUUCCGCAAGGAUGCUGGCGUAAUGGUCACCAGCGACCCGUCUUGAAACACGGACCAAGGAGUCAAGCAUUAGGGCGAGUGUUUGGGUGUCAAACCCGCACGCGAAAUGAAAGUGAACGUAGGUGAGAGCUUCGGCGCAUCAUCGACCGAUCCUGAUGUAUUCGGAUGGAUUUGAGUAAGAGCCUUACCGCUUGGACCCGAAAGAUGGUGAACUAUGCUUGAAUAGGGUGAAGCCAGAGGAAACUCUGGUGGAGGCUCGCAGCGGUUCUGACGUGCAAAUCGAUCGUCAAAUUUGAGCAUGGGGGCGAAAGACUAAUCGAACC
rnacentral:rRNA from 1 species